GUUGACCUCGGAUCAGGUAGGGAUACCCGCUGAACUUAAGCAUAUCAAUAAGCGGAGGAAAAGAAACCAACAGGGAUUGCCCCAGUAACGGCGAGUGAAGCGGCAAGAGCUCAAAUUUGAAAGCUGGCCCCCUCGGGGUCCGCAUUGUAAUUUGCAGAGGAUGCUUCGGGAGUGGCCCCCAUCUAAGUGCUCUGGAACGGGCCGUCAUAGAGGGUGAGAAUCCCGUAUGGGAUGGGGUGUCCGCGACCAUGUGAAGCUCCUUCGACGAGUCGAGUUGUUUGGGAAUGCAGCUCUAAAUGGGUGGUAAAUUUCAUCUAAAGCUAAAUAUUGGCCGGAGACCGAUAGCGCACAAGUAGAGUGAUCGAAAGAUGAAAAGCACUUUGAAAAGAGAGUUAAAAAGCACGUGAAAUUGUUGAAAGGGAAGCGCUUGCGACCAGACUCGCCUACGGGGUUCAGCCGGUAUUCGUACCGGUGUACUUCCCCGUGGGCGGGCCAGCGUCGGUUUGGGCGGCCGGUCAAAGGCCCUCGGAAUGUAACGCCUCUCGGGGCGUCUUAUAGCCGAGGGUGCCAUGCGGCCAGCCCAGACCGAGGAACGCGCUUCGGCACGGACGCUGGCAUAAUGGUCGUAAGCGACC
rnacentral:rRNA from 1 species